CUGCAUCUCUAAACCCCCCCAGCAAUCUCUUGUGGUGGUUGGGACAAGAAAAGAUGCAAGAUUAUACAUCAUGAGAUUUCCAAAGUGCAGCGAUUUUAUGUCCCUGCGCUAUUUCACCUCUCGUACAAAA